rnacentral:rRNA from 1 species
UACAGAGGGUGCGAGCGUUAAUCGGAAUUACUGGGCGUAAAGCGCACGUAGGUGGCGACGUAAGUCGGGUGUGAAAGCCCCGGGCUCAACCUGGGAAUUGCAUUCGAGACUGCAUUGCUGGAGUACGGAAGAGGAAGGCGGAAUUCCCGGUGUAGCGGUGAAAUGCGUAGAGAUCGGGAGGAACAUCAGUUGCGAAGGCGGCUCUCUGGACCAGCACUGACACUGAGGCACGAAAGCGUGGGGAGCGAACAGG